rnacentral:rRNA from 1 species
AUUGAACGCUGGCGGCAGGCCUAACACAUGCAAGUCGAACGAGUUGAGGACGGGUGCGUAAUGUCUGGGAAACUGCCUGCUGGAGGGGGAUAACUACUGGGAACGGUCGCUAAUACCGCCUACCAUCGGAUGUGCCCAGAUGGGAGUAGCUCGUAGGUGGGGUAACGGCUCAACUAGGCGACGAUCCCUAGCUGGUCUGAGAGGAUGACCAGCAACACUGGAACUGAGACACGUUCCAGACUCCUACGGGAGGCAGCAGUGGGGAAUAUUGCACAAUGGGUGCAAGCCUGAUGCAGCCAUGCCGCGUGUAUGAAGAAGGCCUUCGGGUUGUAAAGUACUUUCAGCGGGGAGGCGUUACCCGCAGAAGAAGCACCGGCUAACUCCGUGCCAGCCGCCGCGGUAAUUC